rnacentral:rRNA from 1 species
GACGAACGCUGGCGGCGUGCCUAAUACAUGCAAGUAGAACGCUGAAGAGAGGAGCUUGCUCUUCUUGGAUGAGUUGCGAACGGGUGAGUAACGCGUAGGUAACCUUCCUUGUAGCGGGGGAUAACUAUUGGAAACGAUAGCUAAUACCGCAUAACAAUGGAUGACACAUGUUAUUUAUUUGAAAGGGGCAAUUGCUCCACUACAAGAUGGACCUGCGUUGUAUUAGCUAGUAGGUGAGGUAAUGGCUCACCUAGGCGACGAUACAUAGCCGACCUGAGAGGGGGAGAGGCCAAACUGAGACUGAGACACGGCCCAGACCCCUACGGGAGGUAGCAGUAGGGAAUCUUGGGAAAUGGGGGCGACCCUGACCGAGAAAGGCCGGGUGGGUGAAGAAGGGUUUCGGAUCGUGAAGCGCUGUUGCAAGUAAAGAACGGGUGUGAGAGUGGAAAGUUCACACUGUGACGGUAGCUUACCAGAAAGGGACGGCUAACUACGUG